rnacentral:sRNA from 1 species
GUUUGCCGCUCAUAUCUCUUCCUCAUUUUUGCGUUCAAAUAACACACAGCUAAUGAGCUUCUAAAAAUCUUUUCAGGUUGUUCACUUGUAUUCCUUAAUUUGAAGAAUGAAUAUUUAAAUUCUCUCAAAAGUCAGAUAUUGAGGAUCUUCUCUGGGAAAUUGGCCACUGUACCUGCGCAGCCACCUUUCUGCCUGGUUCCCUGGAAGGUCUUAUUGUCAUCUUAGACGGACAGAUUUCAUUCUCAGCACCAUACAGAUUUGGCUUCAAAGCCAGAACGUUUUGUUCACUGAGCAAAAAAAAAGAUGAAACAACCACAGGCCAGGACUUCAAGUGAGGAGGACGCCUUUGUUUGCUGUGGUUGGUGGGAGCACACGCUGGAGCCCGGUAACAUGCCUGUGGGAGUGACCAAGGGCCACCCGCCCAAGGGAAAAUGUUCAUUCUUCAUCAGCUUUGCUAAUUCUACUUUGAGGCAGUAAAAUGCAAAAGACCAUAGAAUUUGUAUUUCUUUUUUUUAAAAUACAAUUUAUAACAUUAUAUUUUGUACUCUUUAUAUUAGAAUUUGUAACUAGAUUGAUGUAUUUAACUCUAUUUCUGAAAAAAUAAUUCAAUGUUUUAGUUGUGUGAUAAAAAUAUUUAGAUAAAACAUAUUCAUUCUAUUGGAAUUUGAAAUAAAUAAAAACAUCUUGGA